rnacentral:tRNA from 1 species
AAGGAAGGGCAGAAAUCAGUAAGUACUGCUAAUACUUAUGUACCAGGGUUAAAAUCCCCGGCUUUCUUA